UAAAAUGAUCACUCAGUGAAGAAAAUGGGUUUCAGCUUUAUGUGGAAACGUGUGGAUGCCCAGAGUCAGGGGGGUGGAGUGAAGUGAAGAAGUGUGGUCCUGGUAGGACAGAAGAAGCAGCAGGCAGACGAAACAGACUGCUCCGCUCUUGACUUUGACAACCUUACAAAUAAGGGUAAGCAUUUGCCUGAAGUACAGUCUCCCUUCUUCCUCAGGAGACCCCAGGUUUGUUCGGAGAGGCAAAUGACCCACAUAACAUUCCUACUUGUACCAGCGUGCUUGUCACCAGAGGUGGCCUUGUGACGCAAGUCUAGCCAAUGAAAGAGAGAAAGUUCACCGCAGGUUCUGGGUAAGUUUUACUACGCAGAUACAGCCAACUCCUUCUUUCCUGUUCUUCCUUUCUCUCCUUUUCCUCCUCCUCCAUCUCCUCCUUCCCCCUUUGUUCCUCUUUCUUCUUGUUUGGAAUGUGGGUGGGAGAGCAAAGAUAAAACCCUCCUCUAGGACUCUGAGGCCUCUGUGGGAUGAAAGCCUUAUGCUUCAGGUAACAGGACAGAGCCAGGGAGGAGCCUGGAGUCUGGAUGAGCCUGGGGAGCAGCUAAACAACCUUGUACUUCAAUGUUCUGACCUCCUGUCCUGUGGGAAAGCGAGUCCUGGUCUGGAUGAUUUUCUAUUUCAGGACAGUUGACAAAGGGGCUGAGAGAUGAGAUGAGAUUGAACAUGCUCUGGACAAACCAGAGAGAGUUUACGAGCAUAAAUACGCAGAUCAAGGAGCAAGUAAAUGUGUCAGAAACUGGUGGCUUCAUCUCCAGAACAGGAACAGUCCACACCUUUUCGACGGUUAUGUCUAGCGCCAUACAGAUUGCAUGUCCCGUGUGCAGAUCCUGCUGCUGGUUUCUUGAAGGCGUAGUAGAAACGUGGAAACGUCAAGUGGGUUCACCCAUCGCAGCUGUACUGAAUCAGAGCAGAGACGAAGUUCCAGAUGAAGUGACCAGUCGGGAGACCUGCUGUUUCCAUGCAUUACCAAUGAGCCAUUCCCAUCAUAAAAGAGUCAGCCAGAGAUAUCUAAUAAUUUCCACCAUGCAAUUAUUAUUACUAUUUAUCUCAAUGGAAAUUGGUGCAUGUUUGGAGUUGAAACGCUAAGUAAAGAUCUGGAGCAUUCAAAAGCAAAUUUCGUUCAAACCACGGCAGCUCUUCAGAGUUUUCCUCAACCACUUAAGCGAAAGUGAUUUUCAAUACUUAGGGAUAAAAAGGAUUCAUGUCAGAAAAUUCUGUCAUAAUUCUGUUGGGAUAGUUACUGCGACCAAAAGGAAGGAGAAAAGCAGUCAAACUUGCUAACAUUCCAGCUCAAGAGUUCUCUUGAAUGUUUCUGAAGCCGAAGGAUGAAACAGAUGCAUUUUACUAGGCUUGAGGAGAAACUCCAACUGGACCGCUGGUUAAAGACCCAAUGAAAGUUUUUCCAACACAGGAGUGGUAGGAAUUGUAGACAGUGCAUAUCUUUGUUUACCUUUAAACACUGACUGUUAUUACCAACGGAUGGCGAAUUGGCCAUGAAUCGCUGGAGACACACUUCGGGUCCAAUUUAACCUGAGCUCUCAUGAAUAAUAAAAAUCAGAACCACUGUUAAACGGAUCA
ensembl:lncRNA